CAUUGUGAAGCUUAGAGCGUUAACCUUUUAAGUUAAAGUUAGAGACUGCAGUCUCCAUGAUGA
rnacentral:tRNA from 1 species